rnacentral:rRNA from 1 species
CCUACGGGAGGUAGCAGUGGGGAAUAUUGGACAAUGGGCGAAAGCCUGAUCCAGCCAUGCCGCGUGUGUGAAGAAGGCCUUCGGGUUGUAAAGCACUUUCAGUGGGGAAGAAAGCCUUGGGGCUAAUACCCUCGAGGAAGGACAUCACCCACAGAAGAAGCACCGGCUAACUCCGUGCCAGCAGCCGCGGUAAUACGGAGGGUGCGAGCGUUAAUCGGAAUUACUGGGCGUAAAGCGCGCGUAGGCGGUCUGAUAAGCCGGUUGUGAAAGCCCCGGGCUCAACCUGGGAACGGCAUCCGGAACUGUCAGGCUAGAGUGCAGGAGAGGAAGGUAGAAUUCCCGGUGUAGCGGUGAAAUGCGUAGAGAUCGGGAGGAAUACCAGUGGCGAAGGCGGCCUUCUGGACUGACACUGACGCUGAGGUGCGAAAGCGUGGGUAGCAAACAGGAUUAGAUACCUUGUAUC